rnacentral:lncRNA from 1 species
UUUUUAAAGGGUUUUUAAAAGGGUUUAUACGGUUUUUAUAAGGUUUUUAUAAUUUAUUUUUACGCUAUUUAUGAAAAGUAUAUAAAGUUUUAUACACAUAUAAAUGUAAUUUAAUAAUGUCAUAAUAAAUGGUUAAAAAAAAAAAAAAAGUAAAGUACAAAAAAAAAAGUCUUACCCAAUCCGAUUGCGCCACGUGGCGUCUCUUAGCCUAGCAAAGGUAUCUUCUCCAACAUAUGUAUCUUAGCAAUAUUAAUGUUUUUUGAUUUAUUUAUUUUGAUUAAAACCCUUAAAUCCCCCUUAAAACCUGC